UCAAACCCCAAGAGCAGCGAAGAGAAAUACCUUUCCUUCAGUUCUUCUCCCUCGGUCCCCAGAUACUUCUAUGUUCAUUUGGCCUGGUUGCAAAUGGCCUUCGCCGUCUGAGGUCAGCCCCUCCAUGGCCUGCUCCUCCACUCCGCACUAAAUGCUGCGUCUAUCCUUCGGGUGAUUCCGUCACACACAGAAUCUUGAAGAUGCCAGAAACUUUCUGCACACUGGCCCCAAACGUCUCUUAAUCAGGCAUUCCUUUGGCUGACAGAUGUCAAAACGGUGCCCCACGUCCAAGUUAUCGGGGAUCAUGUUGACGCCCACCUGGACUGGGUUUCGGGUUCACUCAUCCCGGUUCCGCCACGGAGGCCUUCGAAGAGAGCAUGUACAGGCCUCUUGAUUCCCAGGGCGUACUCAUCAUCAGUUAUCCCGGCCGCCGCAAGCCUGGCAACUGCAAGACCUCGGUCCUCAAAGCAAAGGGGCGGUGACCGCUCUGAGCAAGGAUCUCGCGAGACUUUGGCAGAUCUGUUGGGAGGCUACGCUCUCUCAGAUCUCGCGAGACUUGAAUCAAAAUGUACGGUAUUACAGAUUUGUGAGACAGCAAAACUCUAAACUUUUAAAAACCCUAUUAAUAACAUACAUUAUAGCUGCGUAACGUUGUGCAGCUAUUUAAGUUUGAGGUCGAUCUGUGUAUGUGAAUAUGAAAAUGUUGGAUGUAAAAAAGGGAAAACCGUAUGUGUAAAUUAAUCCUUUACAAGCGAGAGUAAACUGCAUGACCCAGGAUUAUAUGUAGAAAUUAUUAAUGUUGCAACUGGAGUUAAAAUGUUAGGAUAGCAUUUUUUGAUUUAAUAUGCAUCUAUAGCAUUGAAUUAAAAACGUCUUGGGUUUGGUAACUUG
rnacentral:lncRNA from 1 species